rnacentral:lncRNA from 1 species
CCUUCACAAGUAACUGAAAAUAAUUUUCCUGAAAAGGUGUUACUGUGUUUUUCAAAUGGAAAUCAUUAUGAUAUUGUGUAUCCCGUAAAGUAUAAAGAAAGCUCUGCUAUGUGUCAGUCUCUCCUUUAUGAAUUGCUGUAUGAGAAGGUAUUUAAAACUGAUGUUAGUAAAAUUGUGAUGGAACUAGACACGUUGGAAGUAGCUGAUGAAGACAACAGUGAAAUAUCAGAUUCAGAGGAUGACAGCUGCAAGAGUAAAACUGCUGUUGCUGCUGCUGAUGUGAAUGGAUUUAAACCUUUGUCAGGCAACGAGCAGCUGAAGAACAAUGGGAACUCUACUAGCCUGCCUUUGGCUAGAAAGGUUCUUAAGUCACUCAAUCCUGCAGUCUAUAGAAAUGUGGAAUAUGAAAUUUGGCUGGAGUCUAAACAAGCUCAGCAAAAACGUGAUUAUUCCAUUGCUGCUGGCUUACAAUAUGAAGUUGGAGACAAAUGUCAAGUUAGGUUGGAUCACAAUGGAAAAUUUUUGAAUGCAGACGUUCAAGGAGUUCAUUCUGAGAAUGGACCAGUUUUGGUUGAAGAACUGGGAAAGUACACAUCAAAGAACCUCAAGGCACCUCCCCCAGAAAGCUGGAACACAGUGUCAGGGAAGAAGAUGAAAAAACCUUCCACUUCUGGACAAAAUUUCCAUUCUGAUAUGGAUUACAGAGGGCCAAAGAAUCCAAGCAAGCCAAUAAAAGCCCCAUUAGCACUACCUCCUCGACUGCAGCAUCCUUCAGGAGUAAGACAACGUGAGUUCUCUAGUCAUUCUUCAGGGUCACAGUCUCAGAAAUUCUCCAGUGAGCACAAAAAUCUUAGCCGGACACCUUCACAGAUCAUAAGAAAACCUGAUCGUGAAAGAGUUGAGGAUUCUGAUCACACAAGUCGAGAAUCUAACUAUUGCUACUUCUCAGAGUAGCAAUCCAUGUGUCCAGAGAAAAUCAUCACACGUAAGUGAUAGAAAAGGAAGCAGGCGGAGAAUGGAUACAGAAGAACGAAAAGACAAAGACUCUAUUCAUGGACAUAGUUGGAUAAAAGACCCGAACCAAGCAUAUUGGAGAAUAUUACUGAUGAUAAAUAUGCAACAGUUUCAUCACCAUCAAAGUCAAAGAAGUUAGAGUGCCCUUCUCCUGCAGAACAAAAGCCAGCAGAACAUGUGUCUUUGUCAAAUCCAGCUCCCCUUCUAGUUUCUCCAGAGGUACAUCUAACUCCUGCAGUGCCUUCUUUACCAGCCACUGUGCCAGCCUGGCCAAGUGAACCUACAACUUUUGGACCAACAGGUGUCCCUGCUCCAAUUCCUGGUCGGUCAGUGACACAGACUUUGACCCCUGGACCUGAUUCUGCUGUAUCCCAAACUCAUUUAACACCCUCUCCAGUUCCUGUGUCAAUACAGGCAGUUAACCAGCCCUUGAUGCCUUUGCCUCAGACAUUGAGCCUUUAUCAAGACCCACUCUAUCCUGGGUUUCCUUGUAAUGAAAAGGGAGAUCGAGCCAUUGUACCACCUUCUUCACUGUGUCAGACUGGGGAGGACCUACCUAAAGAUAAGAAUAUUCUUCGAUUCUUCUUCAAUCUUGGUGUGAAGGCAUACAGUUGUCCUGUGUGGGCCCCACAUUCUUACCUGUACCCUCUGCACCAGGCCUACCUGGCAGCCUGCAGGAUGUACCCAAAGGUCCCUGUCC